rnacentral:rRNA from 1 species
GCAGAACGCGAAGAACCUUACCAGGGCUCGAACGUGCGUUGACAGUCGCGGAAACGUGAUCUUCUUCGGACAACGUGCGAGGUGCUGCAUGGCUGUCGUCAGCUCGUGCCGUGAGGUGUCGGGUUAAGUCCCAUAACGAGCGCAACCCCUAUGUUUAGUUGCCAGCACGUUAAGGUGGGGACUCUAGACAGACUGCCUGCGUAAGCAGAGAGGAAGGUGGGGACGACGUCAAGUCAUCAUGGCCCUUACGUCCGGGGCUACACACGUGCUACAAUGGACGGUACAGCGGGCAGCUACACAGCAAUGUGAUGCUAAUCUACGAAAAGCCGGUCUCAGUUCGGAGUCGGGGUCUGCAACUCGACCCCGUGAAGUCGGAGUCGCUAGUAAUCGCAGAUCAGCAACGCUGCGGUGAAUACGUUCCCGGGUCUUGUACACACCG